UACGUAGGGGGCAAGCGUUGUCCGGAUUUAUUGGGCGUAAAGCGCGUGUAGGCGGCCAGGUAGGUCCGUUGUGAAAACUCGAGGCUCAACCUCGAGCUGUCGAUGGAAACCAUCUGGCUAGAGUCCGGAAGAGGAGAGUGGAAUUCCCGGUGUAGCGGUGAAAUGCGCAGAUAUCGGGAGGAACACCAGUGGCGAAGGCGGUGAUCUGGGCCGAUACUGACGCUGUAGAGCGAAAGCGUGGGGAGCGAACAGG
rnacentral:rRNA from 1 species